GAUCAUGGCUCAGGAUGAACGCUAGCUACAGGCUUAACACAUGCAAGUCGAGGGAAACGAUAGAGAAAGCUUGCUUUUUCUAGGCGUCGACCGGCGCACGGGUGAGUAACGCGUAUCCAACCUGCCCACCACUUGGGGAUAACCUUGCGAAAGUAAGACUAAUACCCAAUGACGUCUCUAGAAGACAUCUGAAAGAGAUUAAAGAUUUAUCGGUGAUGGAUGGGGAUGCGUCUGAUUAGCUUGUUGGCGGGGUAACGGCCCACCAAGGCGACGAUCAGUAAGGGUUCUGAGAGGAAGGUCCCCCACAUUGGAACUGAGACACGGUCCAAACUCCUACGGGAGGCAGCAGUGAGGAAUAUUGGUCAAUGGACGAGAGUCUGAACCAGCCAAGUAGCGUGCAGGAUGACGGCCCUAUGGGUUGUAAACUGCUUUUAUAAGGGAAUAAAGUGAGUCUCGUGAGGCUUUUUGCAUGUACCUUAUGAAUAAGGACCGGCUAAUUCCGUG
rnacentral:rRNA from 1 species